UGGGGAAUUUUGGACAAUGGGCGAAAGCCUGAUCCAGCAAUGCCGCGUGCAGGAUGAAGGCCUUCGGGUUGUAAACUGCUUUUGUACGGAACGAAAAGCUUCGGGAUAAUACCCCGGGGCCAUGACGGUACCGUAAGAAUAAGCACCGGCUAACUACGUGCCAGCAGCCGCGGUAAUACGUAGGGUGCAAGCGUUAAUCGGAAUUACUGGGCGUAAAGCGUGCGCAGGCGGUUAUAUAAGACAGAUGUGAAAUCCCCGGGCUCAACCUGGGAACUGCAUUUGUGACUGUAUAGCUAGAGUACGGCAGAGGGGGAUGGAAUUCCGCGUGUAGCAGUGAAAUGCGUAGAUAUGCGGAGGAACACCGAUGGCGAAGGCAAUCCCCUGGGCCUGUACUGACGCUCAUGCACGAAAGCGUGGGGAGCAAACA
rnacentral:rRNA from 1 species